CCUACGGGUGGCAGCAGUGGGGAAUAUUGCACAAUGGGGGAAACCCUGAUGCAGCAACGCCGCGUGAGUGAAGAAGUAUUUCGGUAUGUAAAGCUCUAUCAGCAGGGAAGAAGAUGACGGUACCUGAGUAAGAAGCCCCGGCUAACUACGUGCCAGCAGCCGCGGUAAUACGUAGGGGGCAAGCGUUAUCCGGAUUUACUGGGUGUAAAGGGGGCGCAGACGGUGAGACAAGUCUGAAGUGAAAGCCCGGGGCUCAACCCCGGGACUGCUUUGGAAACUGGGUGUCUUGAGGGCAGGAGAGGAAAGUGGAAUUCCUAGUGUAGCGGUGAAAUGCGUAGAUAUUAGGAGGAACACCAGUGGCGAAGGCGACUUUCGGGACUGUACCUGACGCUGAGGCGCGAAAGCGUGGGGAGCGAACGGGAUUAGAUACCCUAGUAGUC
rnacentral:rRNA from 1 species